UGAAAGUGUGUGUUGGUGAUGAAAGUGUGUUUAGUCCCAACCUGCAGGCCUCUCCUCUCCUCAGGUCGGGUAUCGGCCCACGACCUUCACAGUUUUCCCUAAUCUCUCUCAGGUUGGUCAAACCUCCAGUCAUGAAUAAUUUCAGGUUUUCACUUCCUGUUCCUGUUUUGCAUCAUUUCCUGUGUGGAGGAACAAACAGCAUCUGAAGUCGUUUUCAGUCAGACUGAAUGUUGGAGUUUCUUUCAUCAGUUCUUCUGAACGGAAACGGAUCAUGAUGUUGAUCUGGAUCAGAUGAUGAAGGUGAAUAUUUGUGUUCCCGUUUGUUCUGGAGAAUGUUCUGCCCCCUAGUGGACAAAAGGUCCCAGUUAAAGGCCAGAAUGUUCAGUUUUAGGACGAUUUGGACCGAAGGAUCAAAUCAUCGUCACAUGGUUCCAGUAAAACCUUCCAAAUAAAACCUUCUGUAUCACAACACUUUUGGACCGUUUAGCCGGUUACCAUAGAAACAGAGCCGAACACAGCUCCACAUCUUGACUGUAAGGUGUUUAAUGAGUUUCUGUUGGGAGCCAAGUUCUGCUGCUGUGGACUGGUAGCGGUGUGGAGUCGGGACAUCGUCCCGCCUGAGCGGAUCCAUUGACGGGAUGCCAGGUCAGCUGGGAGCCGUUCCUGGUUCUGCGUACGCAGGAAUGUGCAGGAGGCCAAAACGAAACAAAUCUGCUAUUAUGGAGCAAUUUCUGGAACAAUAGAGAAGAAACCUGGCAGAACAUGAAAGAACCUGGUUCUGGUUCUGGUUCUUGGUGAAAGGAUGUCCCUCCAGGCUGGAGCCUGUCAGCCGGUCAGAGUCACAACAAUCCAGUUAUUUUACAGUAAACAGACCCAGAGUCACUCUGAGUAUUUAUGGGAUGUAAACAGCAGCAGGUGUUGUCAGGACAACCUUUCACCUUGUUUAUUAAUGAUUCUCCGUCUGUUUUCAGAGAGCUGCAGCAAUAAGGUCCCAGUUUUUAUGCUGGUUACGGACAGUUGACCUUCAUGACCUUAAGUCAGAGUUUCCGCUGCAUUCAGGCCAGUGACAGUGAGUAUAAAUAAAAUAACUGUCAUUUUACGCAUCUGCUUUAAGGUUGGAGGCUUAAAGAUGUUUUCACACCUGAUAGUCUGAUAGACUCGCUUUGAUUAGAGACCAAUAAUCAAACAUUUGCUCCAUCUCCAGCUGCUGUGGCUCUUUCUCACUGCAAUGAUUCAAAUCAGCCAAACUCGUUGAACAACCUGUUCCCCUCCUGGCCUGUGGGGGCGCUGCACCAAGAACCACUGAAGGAAACAACACUAAAACCUCUAAUGACACUGAGAGCAACUUCCUUCUUCAUGGCGUCAGAUUGUAGCGUUUGGAGGAUUUCUCUUUUGUUUUUAGCUAAAGACCACGAGACAUUUCUCCUGAAAGUGUUACUGCAUUUGUUUUGGUUGUCUUUACCCAGAAUGCCUUGUGCUGUAGCCCACUUCCUGCUUUUGGAGCUUUAUCCGGUCCGUUAUGCUUUGAAACCAAACCAGAGUUCACUUCAGCCGAACUGAAUCCGAGGUUUGGAGGUGGAUCAGAGUUCAGGUUCUUGGUCUGCAUCAGUUUACGUGUUCACACGGACUCACAGGCUAGUGGAUCGCCACCUGCUGGACAGGAGCAUAAAACUAAGUUUCUGAGUCCAGCUGCCAGAACCAACAGCAGGUUCUUUGUUUGGUGAUAUUUCCUCUAAGAUCUGGGAGGGAAUCCAGGAGGAGACCCGGUUCUGUCAGCCGGUUCUGACCAGCUCGUCUUGUUCUGCAGCGGAAAGUUAGUGAUAAAAUCUCUAACUCCUUCCUUCAGUUUGAUUGAUUUAAUAGAUAAUAAUAAAGAGCCGUUUGCUUUGUUUCUUCUCUGGGUUUUUCCCGCUCAGCUGUCAGGUUUAUUUUUAGUGGAUCCACCAGAACCAGAACUUCUUACUGGAAACAUAAAGUUCUGUCAUUUAUUUGGAGCUUCGUCUGAAUUAGACAGAAGAUAAAGAUGAUUGAAGUGAAUCCAGUUCAUCCUGGAUGUUGUGUAUAAUUAUUAGACUUUGGAUUCACUUCAUCUGUUCAUGUUCAGCUUAACGAGUCCAAAUGAAAAACGGAUAAAGGAACCAGAACCAGAGAGCAAAGGCUGGAAGAUCCGGCUUGAAAAUGAAAACUCAGACUUUUCCAAACCAAAUAAGAUUUUUGAUUCUAAUAGGUUUCUUUACUUUCUUUUCUAUAAAGGAAAUUGCAAAUAAAAUAUUUUCCAACAGUGUUUUUUCAGAUCCUGUCUGAAAACAUCAGUUCAGUGUUUGGGCCUAAAGACGCUCAAAUUCACAUCAACAUCUGGACCCGUUCAGCAGAUCUGAGACCCGGCAGAACCCGGCCAUGUUGGACUGGGCCCGCCGCUUUCCCCAGCAGAACAUCAGAACCAGAACCACACAGCUUCCUGUUUGAAGUUAUGGUUAUAUACUGUACUCACAUUACAUGUUUUUAUGCUAAUAUGAUGAAAAUAUUCUCAUGUAGUUGGAUGAUUUUUAAAUUGCAGUUUGAACUUUUAUGCUGCUGUUGACUAAACCUUCAACUGUUUAUACCUGAAAUAUGAAUUAUUUAUCUUAUUUUUUAAAUCCUUUAAUUCUGUAAAGUGAAGAGUUAAACUUUGUCGUCUCUCUGUCUGUCGCUGGAUCGUUUCUGCUCUGGAUGGAAACCAGAAGUUUUCUCAGAGAAAUGAAUGAAAUGUGACAGCAGGUUAAUGGGAAGUUUUCCAACGAGUCUGUUCAUGAAGACACAAAGCAACAAUCAUUAUUCAUCUCCCUGAAUUUUCAGCUUCAAAGAGUUUCUGCUGGGAAAAGAAGCUGAGAGGAAUUUCAUCACUUCUUGCUGAAAUUCUCUGGAUUUUUCAAACACCUCCACCUUCCCUCAGUUUCAGGUAUGACAUGCAGCGUUGAUGUGAAACUUCCUGCAUGCUUUCAAUACCUAAAGGUCAUUCUGAUUCUUUUGUCUUUCACUCUGAGUGUAACCAGAAAGAAUCAGAAGCAUCUGAACUAUUUCAGGACUGUAGGAAACAAAGCUUACAGCGUGUGACCGUCGUCACACACACCCACACCCACACACACACACACACACACACACACAGCUCCUCCGAUCAGUGAAACACAAACAUGGAAACAUCUCAGUCUAAAAAUGGAGAGGAGUCUUUCACAGACAGCAGCAGGUCAGGACGGGCCGAUCCAGAACCAGCCGAUCCAGAACCAGCUUCCAGUCACUCUGACUUUCACUUUUAUCUCACCUGGCUGUGAGAUUCCAGGUCUCUGACUGCAACAGGUUAAAGUAUUUGAAGGUGGCAGAUUUUCCAAAGAUGGAAACAAUGUAAGAGGAGUGAGCAACAUUUCAGAGGCCUGAAGGAACGCUGCAGGCAUCUGACCCAGAACCUCUGAACAUCAGAACCACAGAACCACAGAACCACUCUGGUUUAUCCACCCAAAAGGAAAAAAUCCAGACAGGACGAGCUGGAAAAACCUAAACUUUCUUCUUGUUUAUUGAACAAAGUUUGGUCAUCAGACCAUCUUCAGCUCUGACUGUAGAAACCCCAAAGGUUUUUUUUUUAUUAAAAUUUCUUAAUUUUUAAUUGUAUUUAUUUAAUCAAGUAAUCAAUUAAUUUAUGCAUUGAACAGCUGGUGCCUGGAUCUGGAUGAGAAAGAUCCAGGCACCAUUGAGGCCCAGAGGAAACAAACAGAAAGAGAGAGCGAAGCUGAAAACCACCAGGAAGGCUGAAGGAAUGCUGAGCUUCUGAUUGGCUCAUCUGGGGUUUGGAGACUUUUCUCAUUAACUUCAGGAUUCCAGUAAAGACGGAAGCAGAGAUGAAGGAAGCUGAUUAUUUUUAAUGCUGAAACAUUAAACUACCUGAGAAUCACCUGCAGACGCCUCCCAGAGCCACAGGAGAGGCUGAACAUGUGCAGACAGCAAAAUGAAACCGGAUAAAGACAAAGACCAGAAUUCCAACCAGCCUGAACCCAAAGCGAGGUUCUGAUCGAUCAGGGAACAGAUAAUCGAACGCUGAUCCUGUCAGACUCUCCGCCUGGCGGCUCUGAUGGAGCAGCUGGACAAUUUUCAGACAGCAUCAGUCAAACAUUCAUCAGAUCAGUGGAAUUAAAACCGCCAACACGUCCUGAAACAGAUUUUACAGUUUAUCUGAUUUUCCAAAGAUUCACAAAACAUUUUUUUUAUUUUUCAACUUAAAUUUUAGUCUCAGAUUAAACUGCUGGACUUUUUCUUGUCGAUCAGAAAUCCUCUUCCAGCAAAAGUCAUGUUUGGUUUGGCUCAAGUUUUACACAAUAGAAAUUAAAAUCAAAUGUCAAAUUUACAGAAUAAAUAUAAAUAUCAUCAUGAAACGGCUAUAAAAUCCCAGAGUGAAACUAAAAUAUGGAUUUUGUGACAACAUCACCACCAGAGUUCAGCCUGGAAGUUUGUAACAUUUCAAUUCUUUAACUGUUGUUAUUUUCUUUGCUUUCUGAUCAGUGAGUGGACAGGUUCUGAUGAAAACCUAAGAAAUGAUUAAAGGACAUCAGACAGAGAGCGGCUGGAAGGUCAAAGUUCAGACUGAAGGUCACUUCAGGGUUUUUGGGUUUCCUGUUCUGACUGGAGCUGAAGGAAAGUUUCCUCCAUGAUCCACUUCAGACUGGAACAACUUUUCAUUUCUCCGUAACGAUCCUCCGUCUGCAGCUCAGAGGUUUUUCCAUCCUGACCGUAAACCAUGAAUCGUUUCCCCGAUUUAAAUGCUGAGGUCAUGUGACCCAGUCUGGGUUCUGUCGGGUCCAGCUGGCAGUCGGGCCAUGUGAUGUGGGUCAGGCUGAUCAAACGGGCCGCUGCUGGAGUCCGGCCAUGUGAACGGGCCUACGUGCAGAACGGCCCCGGCUCUGGCCCCGGUUCUGGCCCCGGUUCUGGUCCCACCCACAGCCGGGUCACAUGCUGGUUUCCAGCUCAUCGGAUCCAUCUGCCGCCUCAUUUAUGUAAUGACUGUGAUGUGAAGAGAGACGGUUCUGUUGGCUCCAGAACCGAGCUGCCUGGCUCUGGUUCUGAGGCCAGUAGAAACUGGUGAGUCAUGGAUGAACUGCAGGAUGAGUUCACUGGAUUUCUCCUGAAAGGCUCAUUAACCAAAACCUGAGGCAGGAAGUGACUUCAGCUCACUUCCUGUUUGGAGCUGCAGCUUCACCGUUUAUAAUCAGUUUAAUCUGGGAGAUUAAUUAUCCGAGUUUAAAAGUGAUUAUUGGUUAUUAUUUCAUUAGAUGCAUUUAUAAACAAACACAGAUUAAAAGCAUCCGAUUAUACACUGAAAAAACAGAACAGCUGAUUCAACUUAAAUUUAUUUAAUCGAUCAGAAGAUUAUCAAGUUGAACCAACAUCAUUAAAAUAAGUUUGACAAACUUCGUUAAAUCACUUGUAACCAAUUAGCAUUUUUUAAAAGUUGGGGCUGCAUUCGUUAUUUCAGUGUAGCCAUGGUAACGCAUCAAUGAAACUACAAAGGUUAUUCUUUGGACUUGUACAAAAGUAAACUUAUUCCUCUAAAUCUUGAAUUUUAAUGUUAACCAAUUAAAUGUUUUGAGUUAUCUCUGUUAAAACCAUUAAAUCAAAUUUAACGACAUCCUACAGAUUUUAAAAUUCUAGAUUUAUAAAUUAAGAUGUAAAGAGCCUGCAGGUCUGGGAGGUCAGACGGAGCUGCUGAGUUUGCUCAUGCCUUGGGCCGGCUCUGAACCCAGCAGCUGAAAUAUUAACACAGUUUAAUGGAGAAAAAAUGAAGAAUUUAAUAUGAGAAUUUAAAAUAUGCAAAGAUGAAUCUGUAAUAAAAAAAUCUAAAUAAAGAUGAACGUAAAC